GACUCUGACUAUUACAAAAAUGCCCACCAUGACAUUGAGACAUGCAAGUGGGGAGAACAAAGCCUAAUCGAUUAACGUAUCUAUGAGUAUAAAUCUACAUGACACUUCAAAAUUGGAGGCCUCACCGCGGUGGAGUUAGUAGCAGCAGCAGUAGUAGUAGCAGCAGGCUUUCGGGUACCUGAAAGGAGCAUCAUUGGGAAAUGAAGUGUUAGGUAUAUUAACUAAUAAUCCCUAAAGGAAAUACUUUUCUGUUAAUUACUCACUUGUUACUGUUCUCGACGAGUCUUUUGAUACCGGUGUAGUAUGUCCUAAUCUUUGCAUGCUUCUUGCCCUAGGUAGCGCCUUACUUCUGCAUAAAGAUAGUUUCUUUAGUUGUAUGAAUAUAAUUUUAUCA